CUUGUUUUUCACUUUUAGUUUUCUGCAUUUACAAGCUGCUACUUUAUCCUACUGGUUUCCUUGUUGCCUUAUAGAACUCCAUUUUUCUCCGUUAUUUUUGGGCUUGCAAAUUUUGUCUACCCCUCUAAUUGCAACGUGAAGCAGAGAAAUAGGAUAUGGAAGAGUAGAUAAACAAGUGAGCUUCCAAUCUGUAGCGAGUGUUAUAAGUAUCUUUAUGAAUCUUCACAGCAUGCAUCAGGACUGCCUACUUUGUUUUGUGACAAUCAUGUUGCGAAACACUCUUUAGGUCAUGUGAAUCAUCAGCCAACAGGCACAACUGUCAUAUUUGCUUCUCACAGAGGUGCCGCACAAUUAUUUGAAGAGUAUAAUAUUCAAACUCGCUUAAAUGAUACUGAUGUUUCUGACACAAUACAUGUAAAUCUACCUUGAAGCUCCUUAUUAAUUAACUAUAAAUAUUUUGGAACCAUGCUGUCGCAUGUAAUCAUACAGUUGCUUUUGAUAUGAUUCAUAGCCUCCAAAUCUUGCAGAUUCCAAUUUGCUGUGGUUUGUUGCAGUUUCAACUCCCUCCUAACUUCAACUUUUAUUUCUUCCCCUUCUUUCUUUUG